rnacentral:rRNA from 1 species
UAGGGAAUCUUCGGCAAUGGACGAAAGUCUGACCGAGCAACGCCGCGUGAGUGAAGAAGGUUUUCGGAUCGUAAAACUCUGUUGUUAGAGAAGAACAAGGACGUUAGUAACUGAACGUCCCCUGACGGUAUCUAACCAGAAAGCCACGGCUAACUACGUGCCAGCAGCCGCGGUAAUACGUAGGUGGCAAGCGUUGUCCGGAUUUAUUAGGCGUAAAGCGAGCGCAGGCGGUUUCUUAAGUCUGAUGUGAAAGCCCCCGGCUCAACCGGGGAGGGUCAUUGGAAACUGGGAGACUUGAGUGCAGAAGAGGAGAGUGGAAUUCCAUGUGUAGCGGUGAAAUGCGUAGAUAUAUGGAGGAACACCAGUGGCGAAGGCGGCUCUCUGGUCUGUAACUGACGCUGAGGCUCGAAAGCAUGGGGAGCAAACAGG